rnacentral:rRNA from 1 species
CUGCGAAUGGCUCAUUAAAUCAGUUAUCGUUUAUUUGAUAGUACCUUACUACUUGGAUAACCGUGGUAAUUCUAGAGCUAAUACAUGCUAAAAACCCCGACUUCGGAAGGGGUGUAUUUAUUAGAUAAAAAACCAAUGCCCUUCGGGGCUCCUUGGUGAUUCAUAAUAACUUAACGAAUCGCAUGGCCUUGCGCCGGCGAUGGUUCAUUCAAAUUUCUGCCCUAUCAACUUUCGAUGGUAGGAUAGUGGCCUACCAUGGUAUCAACGGGUAACGGGGAAUUAGGGUUCUAUUCCGGAGAGGGAGCCUGAGAAACGGCUACCACAUCCAAGGAAGGCAGCAGGCGCGCAAAUUACCCAAUCCCGACGCGGGGAGGUAGUGACAAUAAAUACUGAUACAGGGCUCUUUUGGGUCUUGUAAUUGGAAUGAGUACAAUUUAAAUCCCUUAACGAGGAACAAUUGGAGGGCAAGUCUGGUGCCAGCAGCCGCGGUAAUUCCAGCUCCAAUAGCGUAUAUUAAAGUUGUUGCAGUUAAAAAGCUCGUAGUUGAACCUUGGGUCUGGCUGACCGGUCCGCCUCACCGCGUGCACUGGUUCGGCCGGACCUUUCCUUCUGGGGAUCCGCAUGCCCUUCACUGGGCGUGUCGGGGAACCAGGACUUUUACUUUGAAAAAAUUAGAGUGUUCAAAGCAGGCCUUUGCUCGAAUACAUUAGCAUGGAAUAAUAGAAUAGGACGUGCGGUUCUAUUUUGUUGGUUUCUAGGACCGCCGUAAUGAUUAAUAGGGAUAGUCGGGGGUAUCAGUAUUCAAUUGUCAGAGGUGAAAUUCUUGGAUUUAUUGAAGACUAACUACUGCGAAAGCAUUUACCAAGGAUGUUUUCAUUAAUCAGUGAACGAAAGUUAGGGGAUCGAAGACGAUCAGAUACCGUCGUAGUCUUAACCGUAAACGAUGCCGACUAGGGAUCGGGCGAUGUUAUCAUUUUGACUCGCUCGGCACCUUACGAGAAAUCAAAGUUUUUGGGUUCUGGGGGGAGUAUGAAACCUUUGCAAGCUAGCCGCAGCAACUCUGCGCCGAACAGCAGCCCGAAAGGGUGAGGUGGUCGAAAUGCCCGCGGAUCCGGUCCGCGAACCAAAAUGCUAGUCCGCCUCCGGGCGGGCGACACGCUCAAACUGCGGGAAAACCCUAAAGCUCCAGCACACCAAGCCGGCGUCGAAAGACAGCCGGUGGCCAGGUUAAUUGCCUCGGGUAUGGUCAAAGCGGCUGGAGAUGAACAAUGGGCGAUCCGCAUCCAAGCUCCUAACCCUCGCGAGAGGUACGGAGAAGGUUCAGAGACUAAAUGGGUGUGGGUCUCCUCUCGCGAGAGAGGAGGUCUAAGAUAUAGUCCGGCCACCGCUGAAAGGCGGUGGGGUCAGGCACUCCUUGACAUACAAACGGGAGCCUGCGGCUUAAUUUGACUCAACACGGGGAAACUCACCAGGUUAACCAGUAGGUUACGACUACGUCUGGGCCUGGAAUAGCGAACCGAGUAUCAUUCGCUAGUAUCAGAUUUAUAUCCGCGUGGGGAAGUCCCCAUUUUCGGGCGCGGAGCGGUGCAAACCGUCGAUCUGAUGCGACACCAGCUGGUACAGGGGACGCCGACCUGCGCAUCUCGCGCAGAGGCCAAUCCUGUGGCGAGCUCGAGUAACGUCGAGCCGUCGCAACGCACGCUAAGCGGUGGGUCAGUCUUUCGACUGGCUUAAGGUACGUGCUAAUCCCAUGGGACAACCAUGCCUCCUAGAAUAGGCCCGAAUGCCGAAGCUUCGAGGGUGGAGACGAACUCGCUUCGUCUCCUGGCGUAAACAGUGCCAGACACAGUGAGGAUUGACAGAUUGAGAGCUCUUUCUUGAUUUUGUGGGUGGUGGUGCAUGGCCGUUCUUAGUUGGUGGAGUGAUUUGUCUGCUUAAUUGCGAUAACGAACGAGACCUUAACCUGCUAAAUAGCCAGGCCAGCUUUGGCUGGUCGCCGGCUUCUUAG